rnacentral:misc_RNA from 1 species
UACGGAGGGUGCAAGCGUUAAUCGGAAUUACUGGGCGUAAAGGGUGCGUAGGUGGUUUGGUAAGUUAGGUGUGAAAGCCCUGGGCUUAACCUGGGAAUUGCGCCUAAAACUGACAAGCUAGAGUACUGUAGAGGAAGGUGGAAUUUCCGGUGUAGCGGUGAAAUGCGUAGAUAUCGGAAGGAACAUCAGUGGCGAAGGCGACUUUCUGGACAGAUACUGACACUGAGGCACGAAAGCGUGGGGAGCAAACAGG